rnacentral:piRNA from 2 species
GUCAAUGGAAAAACUGGAAAUCUUG